AGAGAAAUCCUUGUUGCACGGUAUGGGUAGACCCAAGAGCCUCUAUGCACAGGAUGAUCUGUUUGGAGAGGAAUAUCAUCAGUGUAUGCCGUGAAAACAGAAUUUUCAAAGGUUUCCUAAAUACUAAGUGAGCUAUACAACAAGACUGUGUGAAUCCCACUUGAAAGAUGUUCAACAGCAGUUCAGAAGGGUUCUUCACUGAAUUGGCAGUGGACAUGGAACAGUCUCCCCAGAGCUGUGUUCAUAGCCUCAGGCUUCUGGAGUUCAAGGACAGUGCUCUCAGUUAUGCGAUCUGAUUUUUGGGUGGUGUUGGAUGGAGCCAAGCGUUGGACUCAAUGAAUCUUAAGAGAAAUGAAGAACCGAUGGAUGAUUGCACUUUCAGAUGAACUCAUCACAUGCACCUACCUUUGUCUGAAUGUAUAAUAUAGAAUUCUAAUUAGUACAUAUUUGGAUGAAUAUUUUGUAUAUAUGUAGCUACUUGCAUAUUCAUUUAAAAUUAGUAAUUACAUUCAUCAGAUAUCUCCAUUUUAUGCUAACGGUUGACCAGAAAGCUGCUAAACAAGAUCCUGGGGGUGUGGGACAUCUCUUUCCUUGUGCCAACAUGGGUCUCACUCCUUUCCCACUGUUUGACUUAAAAUAUCAAACCACAAGUGAAACCUGUUUGACUAGGUAAGUUUUACGAGUUUGGCCUGUCAAACUAUGUAAGUAAAACAGGUAAGUAAAAAUCAAAUACAAAAAGAUGGUAUACAGAGAGUAGAAGCAAGACAGGUAAUGAAGAGGGAAUAUAGACAUUGUCCAAUCAUCUAGGGAUGAAGUUAGGAAAGCUAAAGCCCAAGUGAAAUUCAGUAUGACUAGGGAUGUCAAAGACAUCAAGAAAGGCAUAGGCAAGAACAUUGUUGAUGAAAGGAAGAAUAAAAAAAAUGCAGGCCCUCUGCUGAAAGAAAUAGAAUAUCUAGUUACAUGGGAAAAUGAUAAGACAGAGGUAUUGAAAGCCUCAAACACAAUUAUACUUGCCAUCAGGACUAGCCUUAAGUAAUACCAGAUUGAUAGGGAGAAAAAAAAUGAAGCAAGAUAGACGUACUCUUGAUGGAAGAGGAUCAUGUCAAGAAAUACUUAAGUGAACUGGGCAUACAAAAAAUUCACAGGCCCUAAUGGAAUACACCCACAGGAAGUAGCUGGCAGAUGUCAUUUUGAGGCCACUCUUGGAAAUCUUUGUUUGAUCAUGGCAAAAGGAAAAGUACCUGAAGACCAGGGGAAAACAAAUGCUACUCCUAUCUUCAGGAAGGUCAAGAAGGAGGACCUAGGGAACUGCAUGCUAGUUAGCUUUACCUCAGUCAUUAGGAAGGUAAUAGAAAAGCUAACUUGGAAACCAUAUCCAGGCACAUGAAUGAUAAGAAAAUCAUAAGCAGUAGCAAACACGCAUUCACUAAAGGGAAGUCAUGCUUGAUCAAUUUAACAAGCUUCUACUCUGAGUGGAUCAAACUGAUGGGUGACAGAAAUGCAGCGAACAUUGUCUUCCUGGGCUUCAGUAAGGCUUUUAACAUUCUUCCCAUAAGAUUCUUGGACAUACAUUCUUGAUGUGUGGGCUGGAUAGCCAAAUGUGGGAUUGGAUGAAAACUGGCUGAAUGGCUAGGCAUAGAGUGUGGUGGCCAGUGCCUCAAAGUCUAAUUAGAAGCUAGUAACUUGAAGAGUACCCUGUGGGUCAGUACUACUCAGUCCUGUUUAACAUCUUCAUUAAAAAUCUGGAUGAACAGGCUAAGUGCACUCAGCAAGUUUGCAGGUGAUACAAAACGAGAAUGAGUGACUUAUGUAUACGCCAGUCAUGCUGCCAACCAGGGGGACCUGGUCAGGCUGGAGAACUUGGCCAAGCAGGAGACUCAUACAGUUCAACCAGUAUUGCAAUGUCCUGCAUCUAUAAAAGAAGAGCUCCAGGCACCAGUGCAUUCUGGGAGUCACCCAGCUGGAAAGCAGCCUGGCAGGAAAGGCACUGGGGAUCCCCAUGGGCAACAAGUUUGUUCCACUGCUGCAAAGAAGGCUGCAAAAAAGGAUAUAAAGAAGGAUGAUAACAUCCUGAGCUGAAUUAAGCAAAAUAUUGUCAGGAGGUCUACUCAUCCUCCCUACUCUGCAUUGGUGAGACCACUAAUGGAGGAGGAUUUGGCUAUGCCAUGGCAAGAAGACUGUUUGCAAAAGAUCAUGUAAUAGUCCCUGGAACAGAUGUAUGAAGAUGCACUUAGAGAUAGAAAUCAUAAAGAACUCAUGGUCAUAGAUUGGAAGGAAAUGGUUUUUCUUCCUCCCAAUCUAAAAAAAAAGGAAAUAAAUGAGUAUACCAUUUUAAUCUGGGAGAUUUACCUUGCUUUUCCCAAUAAAAGUUCUUAUUUUAUAUUUUAGAACCAAAAGCAAAGUCAAGGUAGUUUGAUUUGGCAGAUUUUAACAAGUUCUGAAGCUGAGAUUAGUUCAAAAGCUAUAGUAAUUAACGGCUGAAUUAAGACACAAGUGCAGGUUAGCCCAAUGGCUACCAUGCAGUGUAUUUGUAUUUGUUGUUGAGCCUCCCUGCAUUUCUCUUUUGGUGAACAAACACUUGAUGGUGCAUUACAAACAUAAAACCUUUUAAACAAAAGUUUUUUUUUGAGGGAGUUUAGAUUACCUGUAUUCUCUUAAAAUUUACGAGCUGGUGGAAAAUGCACUUCAUAAGCUGAAGACCUGAAAGUCAGGCUCUCUUUUCUAACAACUGCUCUUAUUUCAUGGAAGGACUUCUCAAUAUAGUAGCAUUUAUUAUGUGCCUUUGGCUUACCCAUUUACCAUCUAUUCCCAUUAAUACCUGCCACCUGUAUAGAUUGCACAGUGACUAUUUUAGAAAGAGAAUUUAUUUAGUGGUUUAAUCCUUGGGUAGUAAAUAUUAAUUAGGCGCUUAAAUUAUUGGUUUUUAAGCAGUUUUUUUGUGAUAUGGAGGGCAUGUUUUUCUGUCAGUUGCUGAACAUUUAUUUUAAACAUAUUAAACUACCACAGGAGUAUUCAGUGCACGAAAACCUUUUCAUGUUUGAGUGGAUUAAAUUUACAAGUCUAAAUUGAUGAUAUAAAUUACAUUUACAUAAUUCAUUCUUCACAAUGGGGAAUUUGUUUUGCAUGUGAAUCUGUUAAUAUAUGCAACUAAGGAUGAAAACAUAGUACACUAUUUUUGCCCACACUGCUAAUUUGGACUAAACAGAGUUUUAGACUACUUCAGCUCCUUACCUGCUUGGUUGCUGUAUUCUUCUUUCAGUUUCUAUUUCACAAUUAAGUAGCAUGUACAUGUGUUUUCAAAUAAAAAAGGCUUUGCUAGAUAAACUCAGUGGGCCUUGCUUUGGCUCUUAAGAACAUACUAAUUCCUAAAAGCUAAUAUUAGUAUUUUAUUUAUUAGCAUAAAUAGGAAAAGUCAACAGGGGAGAAGCAAAAUAGUUGAACAAAAGACUAGACCCUAAUGUUUUCCUUUUUUGAUAUCAAACAUUUGCAAGAAAAACUAAACAUUAUUUAGUAAUAGAAUUUGAUUUAAGAAGACAAAAAUUUCGAAAAUUAUACCAAGCAUCUAACCAGCCAACUAACACUGAAUUUAGUAGAAGUUCUGUGGCUAAAUCCCUCUGCCAUUUUGAAGCCCCAAAUCUCACUGUAAUUUUCAGCACCUGAAACCAUUUGAACAUUUGGCAUGGCUCAUGUUAGCAAUUUAUUUUUUUAAAUCAGACAUCUUUAUUACCCUAAUACUUGCUUUUAGAAAGCAUGCCUUGUACCAUACUAACAACCAGUAAUAUUCCUAAAAGCUGUGUGUAUAAAAUGUGCAGCACUUCAUAUUGUAUUCAAAGGCCUGAUUGUUAGUGAAUUGUAUUUGUUUAGAUGUAUUCAAGAAAUCACACUCAUUUUUCCCUUGUCAGUCACAUUAUCUUUAUCUACCAAUGGAAACACUAAAAUUGCCAUCUCCUUUCAUCCUUUGAUCUGUUUGUUUAGUAAAGAGGAAGAGAAACCAAACCCAAAGGUGCCUAUAAGCAGAUAAAACAAUGGCAGUCCAGGCGUUUUUUGAGCAUCUGAAAAUGGUCAUUAAGCCGAGACAUAUUUUUAUCCCUUUGUUAAUCUCUCUUUCAACACAACAUAUAUAUGCAAAUUUAAUAAUUUAAAUAUAAA